UUUUCACCAGUUUAAGAUGAGGGAAACUGCUGCAGCACCCAGAUGGGAUGAGGGAAGCCUGCUUGCCUGCCUACCUACCUAUCUGAACACAGAUGGUCCCCCAAGGAUUCCCCAGAGAAGGGCCCUGAGCCAGACCAUACAGCCUGAGUGGGAAUGGUUGCAACAAGGAGAGACUGCCUUGAGCACCCCAUCCCACCCUCAUGUAACUUCACGAAGAGUGGAGCGGUCAUCUAUUUCCAGAGGUACCUCUGUCACAGCUAUGCCUUUUCCACUCUCUUCAGCCCAGAGAUCAGAUGGUGUUGCACUGUGCAUUCUGUAUUCUUGCAAAUCUGUAUGAACUUAAUAGUUAAUUAUGACUUCCAGUCACCAAUUGCCACACACUGAGGAAGUGAGCUCAGUUUGCUAAGGAAGAGGUUCCCAACCUUUUUAAAAGUGGGGACCACAUACUAGUAGAGAGACUGUAUUAUGGACACCUCCACUCACAUUUAUGAUUACAUGGACUGUCUCCCUUUUCUUGCAUGACCCUACAACAUCUGUGUUGCAACUACAAUUGCUUACAUGAAAAAGUAAUAUGAAGAAAUCACUGAUGUAUUUUAGUUGCCCUUCAAUGCAGUUAGCAGCUAAGACAAGAUGAAGGCCACCACUAUGUGACAAGCCAACUCUCUGCAGACCACCAUCAAAUUCUGCAUGGACCAUGGAUGGAGCACCUAUGAUCCACAGACCAGCAUACCUUUGAACAAAGAUAGUGAGAUUUCCACUUCCUUGGAUCUGCAGAGUGCAUCUCAUCAGGUGUUUUUAUGGGCAAAAUCUGGGAUUUAUAAAGAUUAUUUUUUGGUUUUGCUAUGUACCUACUGGGUUUGCAUCUGCCUCUAGUGCUUUCCAGAAGAGAUUACUGGACUGAUCUUGAAAGGCCAGUUUCUGGACUAGUAUGAUUUGGACAAUACUAUAGUAUAUGGAAAGACAUAAGUAUAGCAUGAAGAAAUUUGAGAGCUUGAAUGUAAUGAAAGGCUGCUUUGAAACUGAAGUGUUCCUAGUGCAGCUUUUAUUAUAUUUUUGGGAGGUGAUGGUUGCUUUUGUUUAUAAAAAAUCUCAAAGGGACGUGGAUCCCAUAAAACAGAGACAAAGAUUUGCCUUUGUCAAUGAGGGAAACUGUAUCAUAGGAACUGCAAAACCAAGAAAAGAACACCAUCUCAGUAUGGUCCUCUGAAUAGGGUUUUCC